AUUUCCAAAAUAACUUUUUACCAUCAUUCCAAUAUUUAAAAUUUUGAUGCACAAUAAAAUCAUUUACAAAAUUCUCAACCUUCUUAAUCUUUUAAUCUAUUCUCAAUUUUUAAAAUUUUGAUUGGAUCUUUAUUUAUUAAAUUUUUAUUUCUAAAAUUCGUUUCUAGAUUUAAACCUUAUAAAAAUUCUAUUUACAACAAGAUUUCAUCAUUCAUAUUAUCAGAUUACCAGUUUACCCUUGGAUUUUAUAAUUGUUUUAAUAUAAAGCAAGGGGCAAAAGAAUUUUUUUAUAUAUGAUCCCAAAAUAGAAAACAGAAGGGUUAACCUCCUAUUCUCCCUUCAAUCUCUCAAUCUCUCUCGUUUCCUCUCGAACCUUGUAUCUCUCUCGCACCACUGCCUUACAAACCCUCCGUCCGAUUGCCUUCACCCUUCUUCCAGCGAUAGUUCCGAUUGCACCACUGUAACUACCUCCCUUUAUCUCUUUUCCUUCACUUGUCGUACGCGAUUUUAAUUAUAUGCAUACUUGUAUACACUGUGAUGAUGGGGAUUGAUUGCUUGCAAGUGAUUCUAUGAGUUUGGGGGAUCAAUUGCAGGAGGGAAUGGAAUGUUUGGAGUUGGGGGCCUCCAUUCGAGUUGAGGACUUGGGAGGAACCCGAGCCUCCUCGGACAGGGGCUGGCCAUGGCAAUGAUCUACUGAGAGCCAUGGCCUUGGAUUAUGUUUGUUGUGAUAUUGGAUGCUUCAGAACUCGUUGCUAUAUUAUAGUGUUUAUAAACCACUAGUUGAUUUAUGUGUAAAAGAUGCUCGAUGAAAUGCUUAGUAGGCGGAUGUUCAAUUUUUUUUAUUGAUUAGGCAAAAAAAUUCUGUAGAACAUGGUUUAGUUAUGAUUAUAUGUGAAGGCAUGUUGCAUAUUCUUGAUCAAAUUGGAAGUUUGAUGCUUGCAUAUUAGUUUAAGCUUUAAGAAUCGAUUUUCGUGAUGUGUAGUACACCUGCCCUGUUCUUGUAAGCUAAAGUGAGGUGUGAAAUUGCUGUUAUAUGGUGUGUAAAUUACUGAUUUUAUAAGUGCUCUGAAGUGUAGUUUAAGUGGGAAAAAGAAAUUUGAGAUUUCGUUUAGUAAAACUAAAGUUAUAUGAUUUUCUUGUAUGAACUAGUUUAAUAUUCUGGAAACUGAAAUUUUGCUCUGUUUUGGAUACUAAUUAAGCAUGUUGAGAGUAGUUGUAAAAUAUCAAAACCUCUGUGACUAGAUGCCAUGUAGAGUCUUCUGUGAUUACCAAGAAGAAUUACUUGAUUUGGAUAUGUAUAAUUAAAGUUAUGAAUUUUGUAAGCUUAUAGUGUCAACCUCCCUGCUAUAGAUGCAAUUCUGCUGUGUACUUCAUUUUCAAAAAUGCAUAACUUGAUAACCACACGUCCAAAUCUGCUUUUGUUGUUUUCAUAAUGUGGUUAUGUGAUUACUCUUUGGUUUAUAUUCUUUGAAUAUCAUGAUUUGAGGUCGUUUUGUAUUUUAUAAAAAUUGGAUUAGCUAGAUAUGUCAAAACUGUCCAAGUCUGCCAUGUUUUGCUAAAUGAGACAUUGUGCAAGUUCUAUAAAUGAUAAAAUGAUGAAUCUUUUUGGAUUGACUAGAUAACUCCAAUUAUGAUAUUUUCUGUUCAUAUUGCUUAGAGAAAAGACUUGAUAUAUCAUGCUAUAAACUGAAGUAAUUGAGAUACUUGCUGCUGAAUGGUGUUAAAUAGUUGGAUUAAACUUUAAAUUCCCGUUUCGUUACUUGAUCAAUGUUUUCAUACCUUAUAUGGUUAGAAAUCUCUUUGAAUAUCCUACCUUUCUUGUUUGAUGUUCAUUUCAUAUUGAGAUAGCCUAAUGGUAGUAAACUGCUAAUCUUUCAGUGGCUGUCCGGCAGUUUAUGUGACUGAAAAAUAACUGUAAAUUAGACAAUAAUUUUAUGUGUUAGAUGUAUGAUAUCUGUAUAUAUGCAUAUGUGAGAUUCUUGUUUAUAUGCUAUGUGUAAGUAAUAUAUUAUGUGGUGGUUGUAUAUUAUAUAUAUAUUAUUUAUUUAAUUAUUAUUUCCUUAUUUCAUUUAAUUCUUAUUUGAUUAUAUAAUAUUAUAUACUAUUAUCUUAGUAUUUGUAUAGAGAGUAAAGUAUGAUUGUUUUUUUUCGCGAAUGGGUAGAGAUGAAACCGUGACACGUUUAUUAUUACUAUUUAUAGGUCCGAGUAGGCGAGCAGGAAAAGAGCCAAUCGCGGACCAACCCUAAACUGUAAGCUGUGCUAUACGUUUCUUAAGGCAAGUAUAUUAUCCAACUAGCUUGUUUAAAGAUUUUGAUGCCAUGAUUCGAUACUUAAUUUUUAGAAUAUUACAAUCCUGUUUAUCAUCGAAAUCAAAGUUUAGAACUCUACUAGAUGCCAAGUAUUCUAGAUUGUUAUAAACGAAGAACAUGUAUAACCUUUAAUGCUUUAACCUAUCAUAUCUCUCACCUAUAAACUUGAUUCUCUAAAACCCCUUUAUAAGCUUACAAUAAGAAUUGAUACCUUGAAUUCUUCAAUGUUAACAAACCAGAAGUAUUCUUUACCUAAUACACCACUUCACUUGGUUGUCAUAUGAACCUAAAUAAGAACCUAAACACUUAACCCUCAAUAGCUAUUACCCAGUCUUGUCAUAAAUAGUUCUUAUUAUCUUUCUUUAUGAAUUAUCAUUCCCUUGAGAGAACGCUUGGCAUAGUAGAAUUCUAAAAGCUGUUAUGCAACGAUGAUUUGUAAUUUUAAAAUGAUUUGAAGUAUCUGUUUUAAAAAGGGAAUUGGUUGAAAAAUGUUUUUAUGACUGAGACGCCAGUCACCAUUUCAUUUACAAACAUCUGUAGCGGGGAGCCUGAUGUUUGUAUAAGGCCAAAGUGUGCCUAGGAUCCUUUAUAUUUGAGAACUCGUAUUGGAUAUGCGGGUUCGGAGCUUUGUCGUGGGCUGAUCACCCAGCUUAGCUCGUAGCGUCUAAUCAGUUUUCAAUUCCAUAAAAAUGAAACUGUUUUGCUUAAAUCAUAUUGUAUUGAUUAAUCUUUUAAGCAUGUUAAAUUCUUGAUAUCAUUACCAUGCUUUACAUACUAUUUGUGAUUUACUGUUGGGUUGGAUAUUAUAUACUUGUUGGGCACUUUUGCUCAAUAUUUUAACUCUAUUUUACAGUUAAACCCGAAAGUGGUGCGUUUGCUACAGACUGCCCAUAAAAACUGUGGAGGUUCGGGAACCGACUUUAGGCGUCGUUUCACCCAGGUAGACUUGAAAGUUCAACUCUAGGGACCUUCCAGGGAGAAGUAAAGGAUGGUGAAGUUGUAAUAGGUUGAACGUGCUGAGUUGUAACUUAAUCCUUUUAUUUAAAAACAGUUAGUAUUGUUCAUACUCUUACCUGUGGCGAUCCGGGUUUGGGUAGUUGUUGUGGAUGUUAACUUAUGUUGGUUGAAUUUAAUGAUGUAAAUUAUUAGUUUUAAUCAGCUUUUGCUUUCUAUUUGAGUCGGAAAAUUCUGAGAUGUGGUAUUUAUCGGGUUCUUUAUAUUCAGUAGUGUGGGUCCGUCACA
rnacentral:lncRNA from 1 species